rnacentral:rRNA from 1 species
CCCAGACUCCUACGGGAGGCAGCAGUGGGGAAUAUUGGACAAUGGGCGCAAGCCUGAUCCAGCAAUGCCGCGUGAGUGAUGAAGGCCUUAGGGUUGUAAAGCUCUUUCGCACGCGACGAUGAUGACGGUAGCGUGAGAAGAAGCCCCGGCUAACUUCGUGCCAGCAGCCGCGGUAAUACGAAGGGGGCGAGCGUUGUUCGGAAUUACUGGGCGUAAAGGGCGCGCAGGCGGCGCGACAAGUCAGGCGUGAAAGCCCCGGGCUCAACCUGGGAAUUGCGCUUGAUACUGUCGUGCUGGAGUUCGGGAGAGGAGAGUGGAAUUCCCAGUGUAGAGGUGAAAUUCGUAGAUAUUGGGAAGAACACCGGUGGCGAAGGCGGCUCUCUGGACCGAUACUGACGCUGAGGCGCGAAAGCGUGGGGAGCAAACAGGAUUAGAUACCCUGGUAGUCCACGCUGUAAACGAUGUGUGCUAGACGUUGGGGAGCCUAGCUCUCCGGUGUCGCAGCUAACGCGUUAAGCACACCGCCUGGGGAGUACGGCCGCAAGGUUAAAACUCAAAGGAAUGA